AGGCUUUGGGGAACCAGGGGAUGGAAGAGUGGAGAAGAAUACGGGCUUUGUAGUAACACAGUUCAAAUAUCAAUCCUGCCACCUAUUAACGAGGGCAGGUAACUUCAGGUUCCUGAGACCUAGGAUCUGUCUUCUGUGAAAGAGGCAUAUGUACUUCACAGAACAAGAAAGAUCUGGAUGAGCAGAGAUUUAUGGAAUUUACUUUUCCAGUUUUGGUAGCAUUCCAAAGCCUGGGGAGGAAACGUGCAGCAAGCUUUUCUUCACUGGGACUAGAUUGUAUUUGCCCAAAGAAGGAAGACAGAUCCAAUAAACCAGGCCAAGAUACCUGCAGAUACCCCAGGCCUAGCGUGAAACUGUGGCUGGGCUCUUGUGCUACUGCCCCUCUGCAGUAGCUCUGAAAUGUGCCAGGUCUCCUCCAACCUUGAUAGGAGGUUAGCCUUUCCCAUCACCUUGAUGCUGCUCCUGGCUUUCUCAUUUCUCUCUUCUUGGGCAUGACUGCCUCUCUUCCUUUGUCCAUGCAUUCAUGGUAUAUUGAUCAUCAGCAGUAGUAAAGUCUGCCUGUGUCUUUGAGAGGUUCCUCCAGCCACAGGUCCACAGCACUGCUGGCAAAAGGCCCUCCAAGUGGUCAUGACCUUGGAGUACUUGGAGUUUGGAUGGAGGAGAGUGGGAGGUAUGAAAAAGCCAAGUGAAACCUUGAUGAUUUCCCUUAAAGAAAGUAGGCUGGUGCCCAGGGGAGGGCCAAAGAAAGGAAUGCUGAAUUCGCUAAUUCUGAAAAGAAUGACUAAGCUCUAACCUACAGCACAUUGCAGCCUGCAAGUGACAUUUCCCGUAAAACCUCCAGCAGCUAAACCUGACACACUACGCAAAUAAUUUAAUUAAAUAAGAAAGGAAAAAAGGAAGAAAAUGCCUAUAGAGCUUUUCAAGAACUUGAAGUGUGACACACCCAUGCAGGAGUUAAAAGUUGUCUUUCAACAGCAUUAUAGCUUGGUAAGCAAUGGAGAACCCAACUAAUCAUUAAUAAGUGGUUUUGUUAGAAUUUUUGUUAAACUAAAGAUAAAUACAGUAUGUUUAGCUACUGGGGUAAUAACCUAAACUAGUCUGUGAAAGAAAAGGUUAACUGAAAUUGGGAUGCCUGCAAAUCAUCUAGAAUUUUAGUGGAUCUUAUUUGUUAAAAACAUCAUCACAGAUUUAUGUGUAGAGGGAAGUGGUAAGUGAAACAGAAAAUCAGUAAUUAGAUA
rnacentral:lncRNA from 1 species